rnacentral:rRNA from 1 species
GACAGAGGGUGCAAACGUUGCUCGGAAUUACUGGGCGUAAAGCGCGUGUAGGCGGCCUGGUGUGUCGGAUGUGAAAUCCCCAGGCUCAACCUGGGAACUGCAUUCGAAACUGCCAGCCUUGAGUGGUGGAGAGGGAAGUGGAAUUCCUGGUGUAGAGGUGAAAUUCGUAGAUAUCAGGAGGAACACCAGUGGCGAAGGCGGCUUCCUGGACACCAACUGACGCUGAGACGCGAAAGCGUGGGGAGCAAACAGG